UACGUAGGCAGCAAGCGUUGUUCGGAAUUACUGGGCGUAAAGAGUGUGUAGGCGGUGUUCUAAGUUUGGUGUGAAAUCUCCCGGCUCAACUGGGAGGGUGCGCCGAAAACUGCAAGGCUGGAGUGUGGGAGAGGUAGGCGGAAUUCCUGGUGUAGCGGUGAAAUGCGUAGAUAUCAGGAGGAACACCUGUGGUGUAGACGGCUUACUGGACCAUGACUGACGCUGAGGCACGAAAGCGUGGGGAGCAAACAGG
rnacentral:rRNA from 1 species